rnacentral:snRNA from 1 species
UUGCUUGGGCAGCACAUAUACUAAAACUGGAAUGAUACAGAGAAGAUUAGCAUGGCCCCUGCACAAGGAUGACACACAAAUUCAUGGAGAGUUCCAUAUAUUU